rnacentral:misc_RNA from 1 species
AAUUGGCCAAUCACAAAUGUUGUAAGAUGCGAGAGGGGAGUGAUGGUCUCUAGUCAGCUUUUGUCACGUCAACCAACGACUGUCAUACACUAGGGUGACUAUGUAGGUGAUCUCCAGAAUAAUGUUUUGGCGGGUCACGUUUAAACAACUCUGUUGUCAUUAAAAGGGCAAACAUAACAUUCAGGAUGCAGAUGAACUGCUUCCUGUAUUCAGCAUGAUUUGGUGAUUUACAUCAAGCGAAUCAGCUGUUGACAGGGGUCGGCUUUCCAGUGAUCGGUCUUGUCACAAACACAUCAAGUAUUUUUACAGCGCACUCCUGUCAACGAUUCUAGAAUUUCGUAAAGUUGUCUGAUAUCUAUGGGUACGUGACUUCACCAAUCAGCAAAAAGUCAAUGGAUGCUGUUAUAGCCAAGGUCAAUUCUAGCUGGUCACAUGUGCUGGACUGGACCUAUGCUGGGGUUGACUACAGCCUUCCUGGUAAUGGAGGAGAGGACUGUGCCCGUUUCCUCAGUCCCACACAGCGUCUGCUGGAAAGUAUGCUGGCUACGCUGUUAGGUCUUUUGACCAUGCGGCUGGCAUAUCCUAAGCUGACCCUUCCAGCCACGAAGGUUCGUGUCUUGACAGAGAAAGAGACGACCUGGAAGCGAAUUUUGCUGGUAUUGAUGUGCUUAACAUGGGGGUGUGAGCUGGGCUUCAAAUUUGCCACACGACAGAUGAUCUGGAUUUUUAACCCAUGUCAUAUAGCCACAGCAGUUCAGAUCUACCUGCUGGCAGCAGGACCCAGCAAAGCUGUAACAGCUGUAUUCCGUUUGCACAUGCACAUGUUAACUGGUGCUCCUAUAGCCAUUCUCUUUCCUGUCAUCAACACUCGUCUGCUGCCAUUUGAAACAGAGGUCUAUUAUAUACAGCAUGUGCUGAUGCUAGUUAUUCCCUUCUACCUCAUGCAUCUUGGAGAUCCUUACAUUCCGGAAAGACUGGGGGACUUCAGCUGGGCAGCCAUGGCUGGGGGACUGCUCUUUAUCUACCAUUUCUGUCCACUGCAGCUGCUGGCACUGCAUGUCCAUGUGCCUUCUGUGCUGGUACUGGCGCCUUUGAUAGCAUCUUAGAAUGGAGAAAAUAAACAUGAAAAAUAAACAUGGUUCUGGGCAAAGUACAACAACCAAACAUAGUCCAUGACUGAACCACAAAUGGAAGGAAUAUUUCUGCCAAAUUUGGCAUCGCUGAUCAAUCUGAACAACAUGCUAUGUCCUGCUGUGUCAGACCCCUUCCAUGGACCGUAUUACCGCCUAUAUGCGAUGGCACAUCAGAUAAUCUUGAUCCCCUCAUUGGGUAAGAUCUAUGCAGCUCUGGC